rnacentral:rRNA from 1 species
AGACCAAAGGGUAAAGCAAAAAGUACUAAUACAAUUAAAUAAAAUGGUAGAAACAAAAGAAUAGCGAAGAAGAAGCAAAUGCGCUUCACGCUAAUUCCAAGUACCAACAACAAAACAAAUUCAAUGUUUGGUGAAGCAACUUGCUUAGUGGCGGACGGGUGAGUAACGCGUGAACAAUCUGCCCCGUACAAAGGGAUAGCCUCGGGAAACCGGGAUUAAAACCAUAUAACACUUAACUGCCGCAUGGUAGUGAAGUCAAAUCGAGUAAGAGGUAUGGGAUGAGUUCGCGUCUGAUUAGCUAGUUGGUGAGGUAAGGGCUCACCAAGGCGACGAUCAGUAGCCGGCCUGAGAGGGUGACCGGCCACACUGGAACUGAGACACGGUCCAGACUCCUACGGGAGGCAGCAGUGGGGAAUUUUGGGCAAUGGGGGAGACCCUGACCCAGCGACGCCGCGUGAGGGACGAAGGCCCUUGGGUCGUAAACCUCUUUUGCAGGGGAAGAAGUAGAUGACGGUACCUUGCGAAUAAGUCCCGGCUAACUACGUG